rnacentral:rRNA from 1 species
CGGGCGGGGUGCUUAUACAUGCAAGUCGAACGGAGAGUUAGCAAUAGCUCUGAGUGGCGAACGGGUGAGUAACGCGUUGGUGACCUGUCCCGAAGAUGGGGAUAACAGUUCGAAAGGACUGCUAAUACCGGAUGUGGUUGUGAGAGUUAGAGGUCUUGCAACUGAAGGAGCAAUCCGCUUCGGGAGGGGCCUGCGUCCCAUCAGCUAGUUGGUAGGGUAAAGGCCUACCAAGGCGGAGACGGGUAGGGGACCUGAGAGGGUGAACCCCCACACUGGCACUGAAACACGGGCCAGACACCUACGGGUGGCAGCAGUAGGGAAUAUUGCACAAUGGGCGAAAGCCUGAUGCAGCAACGCCGCGUGCGCGAUGAAGGCCUUCGGGUCGUAAAGCGCUUUUUGGGGAGAUGAGGAAGGACAGUAUCCCCAGAAUAAGGCUCGGCUAACUACGUGCCAGCAGCCGCGGUAAAACGUAGGAGCCAAGCGUUAUCCGAAUUCACUGGGCGUAAAGCGUGUGCAGGCGGAAUGGUAAGUUGGGUGUGAAAUCUCCUGGCUCAACUGGGAGAGGCCGCUCAAUACUGCCGGUCUCGAGGGCAACAGAGGGAGGUGGAAUUCCCGGUGUAGUGGUGAAAUGCGUAGAUAUCGGGAGGAACACCAGUGGCGAAAGCGACCUCCUGGGUUGCACCUGACGCUCAGACACGAAAGCUAGGGGAGCAAACGGGAUUAGAAACCCCGGUAGUCCUAGCCGUAAACGAUGUAGACUGGUGUUGGCGGGGUAAAAGCCGUCAGUGCCGGAGCAAACGCGAUAAGUCUACCGCCUGGGGACUACGGCCGCAAGGUUAAACCUCAAAGGG